rnacentral:lncRNA from 1 species
AGUGUGUGCCACCACUCGGCUUGCCGUCUGGUUUGAAGUUUGUUUGUUUGUUCUUUCAUUUGUUUGGUGCACAGGUCAGAGGAAACUUACUUAGCAUGUGUGUCCUGAGAAUUGGAAUCAAGUAGGCAGGCUGGGUAAUACCUUUACCCACUGUGCCAUCUCAGUGGCCAUUUAAAAAAGUUAUUACAUUUAUUUAUUCACUCGUCUUUACAGUUACACUUUGGUAAAACACAAAAUGAGAAAAAAGCUAAAGGCAUGGAGUUGGGGGAUUCUUUAAGUCAGCCAGAGAAAAAAUAUACAUGACCUUCAAAACUCAGACAGACAGGCUUUUCAAAGAAGUGGGAGAGAGCUGAGUGACAUUGCCAGCCAAGUUAGGGAAAGUCCCGGCUCUAGUUACACACUUAAGUGUCCCCAGACAGACAGCCUCCUGUGGCAGGCACCUGACAAGCAAGCACAGGGCCCUCUGGGUUGCAGCUUCAGCACUAUAAAAGUAAAAACUAUGACUGGUGUCCAGGUGCUCACACACCAUACAUGCUCCACCCCGCAAGGCAUAAAAUGAGCACGUUUGACAUGACCUAAGGCCACUUUUAAUAAGAUUACAAUUGCAACCAUCUCCCUCUCUUGACAGCUUACCAUGGCUCCCCAGUGCCCUCGAAGGAAAAGCCCCACUCCCUCGGUGCUGGCCCCCUCUGUUCCCACACUGCCCUGGCUCUCCUUUGCCCCAAGGGCACAGUCGCUUUCUUGCAUGACAAAUCCUGCAUAACCUUUCCUGUCACUCCAGCUUAUCUCACACACAGCUGCUCUACAGUUGCCUGUGUCCCCCAAGGCCUGUCUACUACCCAGAAGUUGUUACUGCCCUGUCCCCAGGGAGAAGAGUUAAAUUUUAUUUUUUUUGGGAGGUGCAGACUUGUCCUUGGCACUCUUCCAACUGUGACCACUAGGGGACACACUUGGGCUAGAAAUAGCUGUCCACAACAGAAGGAGGCGCAGACUGGAUAAUUUGUCCUUGUUUUAUGUUUUGUCUGCAACCAUGUAUGUGCACCAUGUGUGAGCCUAUGAAUGGUUGUGUGAACCAGACCCCAUUCCAUCCCCUGCAAGAAUAGUCAUCUUAACUACUGAGUCCCCUUUUAGGUCUUUGUUAAUUUUGAGGCAGGGUUUCAUGAAACUAGCUUAGGUUAGCCUCACUUUUUUUUUUUAUGUAGCCAAGACCUUGAACCAGAAUCCUCUUACCUCCACCUUGAAAGUGCUGGAGUGGUGGAGUUACAGGUGUAUGCCACUGUACCCAGUUUAUCCAGAUUACAAGUUUACCCUGGGCUCCAUGCAGGCCAGGCAAGAACUCUGCCAAGUGAGUUAUAGCCCAGCCCACAGGGCUCAUGUGGCACCAAGUCACAUUUAUGUUUUUAAAAUAGAAAUUCAGGUACCAUGUAGCUGAUAAUUUAAUUUUAAUUAUUUGGGGCAGUGGUUCUCAACCCUCCUAAGACUGUGACCCUUAAAUAUCAUCAUGAUCUGGUGACCCGGCUUUUCAUUGCUUCUUCAUAACUGUAUUUUUGCUACUAUUAUGAAUCAUAAUAUAUUAUUUUUGGAGAUGGAGGUUUACCAAAAGGGUUGGGACCCACAGACUGGGAACCACUGAUUUAGAACAUGCUCUCAGGUAUGGCCAUCACCCUCACCUCCUCUGAGACUCACUCUGAAGACUGUCCUGCCUCUCUGCUCCUGGCUGCAGGAGUUUCAGGACUAGAGAUGGCGCUGCUGGUCCUUGGGUCCUGGGAAUCCAGGCUCUGGUUGUCUCUCCAGCACGGCAAGCACUUUAGUCCCUGAACAGCCUCUCAGGCUCUCGGGUUGUUUUUGAAAGGAAUAAUUUGGUGGCAUUCAAAACGGUGGCUAUACUGUGUGCCUCUCUUCCUACCCAGCCUCUGUCAGUCCUAGGCCAUUCCCCAUGCGCUUCCCUUGUACCCUGCAAACCACUGAAUUGCUACAGUUUGUAUGGAUUGGCCUGGUCUCAACACCUCAUAUCAAUGAGAUCACACACUCUGAUCCCCCCCUCCCCCAGAUCUGGCUGCUGUUCCAUCCACUCUGUGCACAGGUUGAUGCUUCAUCCUUUUUGUGUCUGAGUAAUAAUCCAUUGUACCC